rnacentral:rRNA from 1 species
UACAGAGGGUGCAAGCGUUGUUCGGAAUUAUUGGGCGUAAAGCGCGUGUAGGCGGCUUUGCAGGUCGGGUGUGAAAGCCCUCAGCUCAACUGAGGAAGUGCGCCCGAAACUGCAGAGCUUGAGUGCCGGAGAGGGUGGCGGAAUUCCCCAAGUAGAGGUGAAAUUCGUAGAUAUGGGGAGGAACACCGGUGGCGAAGGCGGCCACCUGGACGGUAACUGACGCUGAGACGCGAAAGCGUGGGGAGCAAACAGG